GGUGUUGCUUAGCUUUUCACUCCCAAACGCCGCGAACUGUCCUCGCCGGCGCGACUAGUACGUGGAGUAAGUUUUUCUGAAGCUUAUCGGAACGUGUAGUUCAAUUGUGUCCUGCCGAAAGUCUGAAUGGGAGUCACCGGAAGUACUGUAGCUUGCCGGAAAUCCUCGCCGGAAAAAUAAGGUACCUGUCCAAGAAAACAGAACACACCCACACACCCACAAAAAGCAGAAGGGAGAAUAGGAAGAAAAAAGCAGGGGUCACCGGAAAAAUCGCCUGGAACAUCUGCGUAUAUGCCGGCGUCAGUGCCUGAGAAUAAUUAAGAAAGCAAAUUGCAACGGAGUGUGAAGCAGGGGUCGCCGGAAAAAUCGCCUGGAAUGUCGUUGUGGAUUCGGAUCUGAACCGCUAGCUGCAAAUGAAUGAGUGAACGAGCUUCUCCAAAUAGUUGCACAGUAAAGAUAAAAAACAGAAACUAAAAUUAUUUUUUGAUUCUUUUUUCAAUUUGUGAGUAAGUAUCCAAACUAGCAGAACUGAUCUUUUUUUCUUUUUAUGUAUAUCAACUAGAACUAAAAUCAGAAAAAGGGAUCUAGAAAUCCAAAACCCUAAUUUUCUUCUCCUAGGGUUCUAGGGUUGGCUGGAUAUUAUGGUGGAACAAACGAGAAAAGGUUUUUCAGAGAUCGAGAAAAGGGAAUUGGGAUUUAGGCAGAAGUUAGAUCUAAAGGACUCAGAUUCCGAUUGAAAAAAAGGGAAUUGCUGAGAAUUAGUUUUUAAAAAGUUUAGUAAACUCGCUUGCAAUUUCCCUCAAUGAUUCCGAUUGAUAAAAAGGUGAGAAAAUGAGUUUAUCGGGAAUGAAUUAUAUUU
rnacentral:lncRNA from 1 species